ensembl:lncRNA
CUAAAAUUAAGUGCACCACCCUCUCUUUUAGUUCUCUUCUUCUUGGCUUAAGGUACAGAGAGAUAGGCAUCACUUGUCUUGCAGUAAAACUGAUUACCAGAGAUUAGCUAAUCCUCUGUAGCAAUGUGUCCAGGAAGUUUUUAAGAUGUUCCUAAAGAUGUCACAAACUGCAGUGACUUUUGGGGAUUUGCAAAAAACUGCAGUGAACUCUUGGGGAUUUUAAGAAUUACAGCUUGACUAAAUAUUGUAAUGUCCUUAAGGUUUGUGUGCACAAUGAGUAAAAAGGUAAUAUGCCAAAACUCUCUGAUGAGUCCAUUCGAGUGCAUUUGUUGGACUGGGAUAAAUCUUUCAGAACAUCAAGAAGACUCAGUGAAUUGCAGGACUGUAAAAUACGGUACCACCCUAAAAUGAAUAGUCUCAUAUUAUUGACCAUGCUGUGGCUCAAUCCCUCUGGAGCUGUAAGUAAAUGUUGUUUUUGAAUGAUGCUUCUACUCUCAUAGUAGUUUAUAUCACAUCUUAUAAUUCUGGUGUGAUGUAAAUGAGCAGCCCUGCUUAUUUAAGCCUUUAGAAUGGAAUCAAACAACAUCAUAUGAUACUUUAUUAAAUGACAAUGAUUACAAUAUUGUGAACUCGUGUCAUGCUUAUUUCCUCACAGCUGUGCCACCGUCAUAAACCCUGGAGCUCCUCUGGCAGUGAUGAGUCCCUGCCCCAGCCUCGGCUCCGGUUCCGGCUCCUGCCCCACUCCGAUUCCAGCCACAGCCCUGGCUCCCACAGCCACACCCAGCCCCCCAGUCGUCAACACCACUGUCCGUGGAGAUGGUCCACCGUAGGGCAGGAGUCCGUUUGGAGCCGAACAAUGACAUUAAAGUACCCUUGAGAUUUUAAGUAAUGCUUUCAAUAAACAUAAUGAAUAUCACA